rnacentral:snRNA from 1 species
AAUCUUGUCAUAACCUACUUUUU